rnacentral:lncRNA from 1 species
ACCACUCCAUCUUCUCUCUCUCACUCUACCCCUCAUUCUCUCUCACACUCCACCAUUUACCACACUUAAACUCUCUCUUUCCCUCUCUAAAACCACGAAAUUCUCCAGCCAAGAACAACUCUUAACCUUCAAAUCUUCAUCUUCUAGGGUUCUUCUCCAUGGUAAUCACGAAAAUCCUUCAAUCUCCUUCACUUUUCUUUCUAGUUUUAAAAGGUUUUUCUUGCAUUUCCUUGUUCUUCUACACCAUUCUCUUAAAAAAAUUUGUGUGAAUGUUCAUUCACUUCAGUUUUGAUGAUGAUGGUGGUAGAUUUUCACCAAAAGCAUCUUGCAUGUUACAAAAUGGUGAAGAUCCAUGACCUAAACCUAAGUCAAAACCAUGAAAAUGCACUUUUCUACACGUUUUGGUGGAAAAUCACCACAUGCAUCCAAAGUUUUCUAUAAAAAACGAUUUUUGAACAUUUCAAACUCAUGAAUGGUCUUCAAAACAACAUGCAUGUGAUGAUCUUCAAGCUUAGAUGCUUGAUGAUCAAAGUUGUUAAAAAGCUUUCAAAUAUGUUAAUGAAAGAUUUAUUUCCAAAUAAAUAUCUAAAAAUCAUUUUCUGACCAAAUCCGAUUUGUCCCAGAUUCUGAUCAACAAAAUAAGAUGCUCUGUAAAUUUCCAGAAGAUAAUUCGUUUUUCUCUUAUUAUUAUAAUUAAUGCAAUAAAAUAGGGCAAUAAAUAAUAUAAAAUACUUCCAUAGGUCUAUAAAUCCGGAAUAAAUUUGUGGAUGACCCCUAUGGUGAAUAAUAACCUCUCAUUAAAUUUCAUCGAUUUAUGUUUCUGUUUAGUAUGAUUUUCUAUUUUCUUUUUUUUUGGGUAUAAUAAAUCACAAAACCACUUUAGGUAGUGUGAAAAUUGUAUCUAACAAUUUUAUCAGCUCUUACCUGUAGUGGGACACUCAGAAAAAUAAUUACACAAUUUGUCAUCAUGCCUUCCUAUUUUUCCCAAUUUUUGGUAAUUAUAAAAGCCUAAAAAUAGGAAAAAUAGUUAUGAUUAUCCAAAAUUCAUGAAAUUUUACCAGAACAUCAUUUUGUACAGUAGAAAGUUACAUAAAUAUUUGGAUGAUUUUUCUCUACUGUAUACUAUUUUUCUCCUAUUUUCUAAUGUUAAAUACAUUUAAAUACACUUAAGUACACAUAAAUACCCAAAACCGGAUUAUACAAUAUGAAAACCACUUUUGGUAUUUGUUCCAUAUUACUUACACUGUAAAUGAUGUUAACAAAAAUUUUGGUAAUUUAUUUUAACUGUUUAUUAUUUAUUCUUCAAUUAAUGAUUAUUUAAGGGGAUAAAACAAGGAAAAAUAGAAAUACCCACUGAAAAAUAUCUUUUAUAUUUUUCCCAGCCUAUUUAUGUAUAAUAACAUUUCAAUAAAAAGUUUGGAUAAUUUUAUAAACUGUUUUCUAUUUAUUUCAAUUUUUAUUAGAAUAAAUUCUCAAAAACCAUAAAAUUGGGUUAAAUAGUUUAGAAAUCGAUUUUUGUAUUUUUCCCAGCUCGAUAAUGUUUAACAACAGUAAUAAAAAACAUUUGGGUAAUUUUGGAAACUGUUUUCUAUUUAUUUUAAUUUUUAUUAGAAUAAAUGCAUAAAAAUCAAAAAAAUUGGUUAAACAAUUUAGAAACCCAUUUUUAUAUUUUUCGCAGAUUAAGUAUGUGUAAUGACGUUACUAUAAAAAGUUUGGGUCAUUGUCUUAACUGAUUUCUAUUUUUCAUGAAUUUUUAUAUAUUUAGAGAGUUAAAUAUAUGAAAAAUGGUUAUGCAUAUUCAUAAUCCAUGAAAAAUUAUCUAGUAGUCUUUUAACACAUUUAGAACCAAAAUAUGAAGUUUGAUAAUUUUUAUUAACUGUUUAGUAUUUUUCAUAAUUUUAUGGUUAUUCAAGAAACUAAAGUGGUGAAAAAUAGUUAGACAAAUCAAAAAAUUCAAGAAAAUUUAUUUUAAGGUCUUUGACUUCAAUUAAAACUAAAAUGCAAAGUUUGGGAAAUUUCAGAACUAAAUUUGAUUUAGUUUUGAAUAUUCAAUCAUUGGAACACCUCUAAAAUGUCAAAUAUUAACAUUUCAAUAAUGGAAAUUUUCCACUUAAAUUGUUAUAUAACAAUUGAUUCUUUGAAACUUAAUUUCCAUAGAAAAAUAUUUAUAAUUUAUCAAUAUUCAAUUUUGACACAAUAUUGGCAUAAUUCUAUUGUAGUAGUAAAUAUACUAGUGUUACAUUUCGAUUAGAGACUCACUUGUGAAUACCAAUAUUGUAGGAAUCGGUAGUGGUACACGUGGAACAUAGUCAGGGCAUCAUUUGCAUCAUCUCAAUGCAUAUUGUGAGUAUUCACGUACUCCCCUAUUUUCGGUUUUUAAUGUUUUGGGGUGGAAAAGCAUGUCCUAAACUAUUUUUAUGUUUGUUGUAUUUAUUUUGACUUGUAUGAAACUUGGUUGCUAUAUUUCGUAUGUAUGUGUAUGUUACUUUAAUUCAUGAGGACUGUAUCGCGGUUAAGUCCCUGGAAUCUCUAGACACAACUCAUUAACUCUUUUGAGCCUAUGGUUAUUAUGGAUAGCGCUAUCAGGAGGUAGACAACUCCUCACUCGCACGAUUCGCUUGAGUGCAUUUUACCAUUUUAUACACUAUGUUUGCGAUACACAUAGUAGUCAAUAGGGCACGAUUCGGUCAUUAGGCUUGGGUUGUGAACUCAUGAAUGGAAACUUGAGGCACAUACGAAUCUUUAUGCACACAUGAAACUUGUACUCUCAUGUUAGCAACGACACUUGUAUACUUAUUUUAGCAAUGAAACUUGUAUACUUAUUUUAGCAACGAAACUUUUAUGCUUAUUAUAGCAACAAACUUUGUUUCUCAUUAUAGCAACGAACUUUUAUUACUGAAAACUUAUAUACUUGUUUUAGCAAUGAAAUUGUUUGCUCCUUGUAGCAACAAAAUUGAUUGCUCAUUUUAGCAAUGAAACUUGUUUACUCGUUUGAGUAACGAACUUUAUCUUCCAUGAGAAUAUGAAUGUUGCAUCUUAUUUUGGCAACAUACUUUAUCUCUCAUGAUGACAAAGAACUUUGUUUUUACAAACUUAUUUACUCAUUUUAACAAUAUACUUUUAUUAUUGGAAACUUUUAUCAAAACUUUGAUUUCAAUUCAUGGAACCAAUAUUAUUUUGUUUAUCUGUGAGUACUCACCAACUAUUUUUUAUAGUUGACGCUCGUUUUACAUGCUUUUUCAGGAAUCAUCGAGUAAGUGGCACUUAGGGACACUUCACUUUAGGAGCAUUCGCAUGUGUUGUAUUUCAAUUUACAUUGUAAUUUCUUUUAAAAGUUUUUCAAACCCAUUGUAAAAUUGUAAUGAUUUUUAAUACUAUGGUUGGUGUUGUCUUUUAAGUUUUGCUAUGAAACCCUUUAUAUUGCCACGCCUCGUG